AGCGGCGGACGGGUGAGUAACGCGUGGGUAACCUGCCUCAUACAGGGGGAUAACAGUUGGAAACGGCUGCUAAUACCGCAUAAGCGCACAGUACCGCAUGGUACGAUGUGAAAAACUCCGGUGGUAUGAGAUGGACCCGCGUCUGAUUAGGUAGUUGGUGGGGUAACGGCCUACCAAGCCGACGAUCAGUAGCCGACCUGAGAGGGUGACCGGCCACAUUGGGACUGAGACACGGCCCAA
rnacentral:rRNA from 1 species